rnacentral:lncRNA from 1 species
CCUUCAAGUCCAGUUCUUUGAAAGUCCAAAUUUGCUCUGAACUGACUUCAAGCAAGUGCCCACUCUUGAACAAAUUACUGAGGCUGGAGGAUAAAGACACAAAUUGGCCAAACUUGGAUUACCUGCCUUCUGCAUCUUAAAGGAGUCAGUCCCAACUACAAAUUUAAGAGGAUCACAGAAACACCCACAAACUUACGAGGAUCACAGAAAACACCCCUACACCAACUUAUAGCCAAUCUAUUCAACCUGCAUUGUUAGCAGGUCACCUCUCCUGGAUCUCUGCCUGUAGUGCCCAAUUAAGAAUGGAAGGUAAGCAUUUGUUUUUAUCC